rnacentral:rRNA from 1 species
AUUGAACGCUGGCGGCAGGCCUAACACAUGCAAGUCGAACGAGUGGCGGACGGGUGAGUAAUGUCUGGGAAACUGCCUGAUGGAGGGGGAUAACUACUGGAAACGGUAGCUAAUACCGCAUACCAUCAGAUGUGCCCAGAUGGGAUUAGCUUGUUGGUGGGGUAACGGCUCACCAAGGCGACGAUCCCUAGCUGGUCUGAGAGGAUGACACGCCAAACGGGAACUGUGCUCAGGUCCAGAGUCCUACGGGAGGCAGCAGUGGGGAAUAUUGCACAAUGGGCGCAAGCCUUAUGCAGCCGUGCCGCGUGGAUGAAGAAAGCCUUCGGGUUGUAAAGUACUUUCAGCGGGGAGGCGUUACCCGCAGAAGAAGCACCGGCUAACUCCGUGCCAGCCGCCGCGGUAAUAC